ensembl:lncRNA
UACGUACGAUAGUCGAGUCGGAGAGCGGCAGGAAGGCGGCUCCGCUCAGGAAUGUCAUACAGGAAGUGGUCUGGAAUUAGACUUCCUGUUAGUCCCUCGGCUUCUCUGGAUGCCGGCGCUGCUGGCUGUCACGGAACCCGAUGUGGUUACAACCACGGGGGGGUCGGUGCAGCUUAUACAGCCGUGUAACCUGGUACUGCAGGAGGUUCUAUACGGUCAACUGCUGCAGGCCGGCUUGUAGACGCUGGCCGGGCACAGCUGGUCAGCGACGAGGGCCCCGCCCCGACUGCACAACAUCCUGGCGUCCAGCCUCGGCUCCUCGCCUCGCUGCUGUGAUGGAGCUGGCACCGAGUGGCAGAGGCUUGGGGUGGUCGGUCUUUUUGGGACAAACAAAAGACGAUUCCCCCCCUGCCCCUCCUGCCCCCGCGCCCCCCUCAACAGGAGGAAGGUUAAAGGAUUGUUUCGUUUCCAGCAGCAGCAUCACACAGCUGACGAAGACCAAAACAACAAGUUAGGAAUCACGAGGCCGAAACCCAGCUGACCUGAGGUCCGGGAAGCCCUGAGGCGUAAACAAGGCGGCCGGUGCAGAGGAGACACCAAACCUCCCGCUGGUGGUGGCAGCUGGAUC